rnacentral:rRNA from 1 species
UACGUAGGGAGCAAGCGUUGUCCGGAAUCAUUGGGCGUAAAGCGCGCGUAGGCGGCCCCGUAAGUCCGUUGUGAAAGUCAAAGGCUCAACCUUUGAAAGCCGAUGGAUACUGUGGGGCUAGAGUCCGGAAGAGGCGAGUGGAAUUCCUGGUGUAGCGGUGAAAUGCGCAGAUAUCAGGAGGAACACCGGUGGCGAAGGCGGGUCUCUGGGCCGAUAUUGACGCUGAGGAGCGAAAGCGUGGGGAGCAGACAGG